GGGGGGGGGGGGCAAGCGUUGUUCGGAAUUACUGGGCGUAAAGGGCGCGUAGGCGGGCCCAGACAGUCUCUUGUGAAAUCCCACGGCUCAACUGUGGAGCUGCAGGGGAAACUACUGGGCUUGAGUCCGGGAGAGGGUAGUGGAAUUCCCAGUGUAGCGGUGAAAUGCGUAGAUAUUGGGAGGAACACCGGUGGCGAAGGCGGCUACCUGGACCGGUACUGACGCUGAGGCGCGAAAGCUAGGGGAGCAAACGGGAUUAGAUACCCCGGUAGUCCUAGCUGUAAACGUUGAGCACUUGGUGUAGCGGGUAUCGACCCCUGCUGUGCCGAAGCUAACGCAUUAAGUGCUCCGCCUGGGGAGUACGGUCGCAAGGCUG
rnacentral:rRNA from 1 species